GUAGCCAUGUUCGGACGGGAUAAGCGCUGAAGGCAUCUAAGCGCGAAGCCCACCCCGAGAUGAGAUUUCCCACGCGAGAGCGGUAAGACCCCUGGAAGACUACCAGGUAGAUAGGCCAGAGGUGUAAGCGUCGUAAGGCGUUUAGCUGACUGGUACUAAUAGGUCGAGGACUUGAUCUA
rnacentral:rRNA from 1 species